UACGUAGGGGGCAAGCGUUUGUCCGGAUUUAUUGGGCGUAAAAGGCUUGUAGGUGGCCACGCCAAGUCGGAUGUGAAAUCUCCCGGCUCAACUGGGAGGGGUCAUUCGAUACUGGCGGGCUCGAGGCCGGUAGGGGAAGUGGAAUUCCCGGUGUAGCGGUGAAAUGCGUAGAUAUCAGGAGGAACACCGGUGGCGAAGGCGGGUCUCUGGGCCGAUACUGACGCUGGAGGAGCGAAAGCGUGGGAGCGAACAGG
rnacentral:rRNA from 1 species